rnacentral:rRNA from 1 species
GCAAGUCGCACGGGACUAUUUGAGUAGCAAUACAAGGAUAGUUUAGUGGCGCACGGGUGAGUAACACGUGAAUUACAUGCCCUGCAGAGGGGGAUAGCCCAGGGAAACUUGGAUUAAUACCCCAUGGUAUCGCGAGAUUAAAGGUGGCCGCAAGGCUGUCGCUGCAGGAUUGGUUCGCGCCCUAUCAGCUUGUUGGUGAGGUAACGGCUCACCAAGGCUACGACGGGUACCUGGUCUGAGAGGACGAUCAGGCACACUGGAACUGAGACACGGUCCAGACACCUACGGGUGGCAGCAGUCGAGAAUAAUUCACAAUGGGGGCAACCCUGAUGGUGCAACGCCGCGUGGAGGAUGAAGGUCUUCGGAUUGUAAACUCCUGUCAUCCGGGAGUAAGACCUGGCGAUGAGUAGUCGACAGGGUUGAUAGUACCGGAAGAGGAAGGGACGGCUAACUUCGUGCCAGCAGCCGCGGUAAUACGAAGGUCCCGAGCGUUGUUCGGAAUCACUGGGCGUAAAGGGAGCGUAGGCGGCGUGGUAAGUCAGAUGUGAAAUCCCGGGGCUCAACCCCGGAACUGCAUCCGAUACUGCCGUGCUAGAGGAUUGGAGAGGUAGCUGGAAUUCACGGUGUAGCAGUGAAAUGCGUAGAUAUCGUGAGGAACACUCGUGGCGAAAGCGAGCUACUGGACAACUCCUGACGCUGAGGCUCGAAGGCCAGGGUAGCGAAAGGGAUUAGAUACCCCUGUAGUCCUGGCAGUAAACGGUGCACGCUUGGUGUGAGGGGAAUCGACCCCCCUUGUGCCGGAGCAAACGCGUUAAGCGUGCCGCCUGGGAAGUACGGUCGCAAGACUA